rnacentral:rRNA from 1 species
GACGAACGCUGGCGGUAUGCUUAACACAUGCAAGUCGAACGAGAACGGAUUAUAGCUUGCUAUAAUUGUCAGCUAAGUGGCGCACGGGUGAGUAAUGUAUAGGUAAUAUGCCUCUACUAAGGGAUAACAAAUGGAAACGUUUGCUAAUACCUUAUACUCCUUAUUAACAAAAGUUAAUAAGGGAAAGAUUUAUUGGUAAGAGAUUAGCCUGUAUUGUAUCAGUUAGUUGGUGGGUAAUGGCUUACCAAGACUAUGACACAUAACUGGUUUGAGAGGAUGAUCAGUCACACUGGAACUGAGACACGGUCCAGACUCCUACGGGAGGCAGCAGUGGGGAAUAUUGCACAAUGGACGAAAGUCUGAUGCAGCAACGCCGCGUGGAGGAUGACACAUUUCGGUGCGUAAACUCCUUUUAUAUGAGAAGAUAAUGACGGUAUUAUAUGAAUAAGCACCGGCUAACUCCGUGCCAGCAGCCGCGGUAA